UACUUCUCUAAAGUUGUGAGCACCGAAC
rnacentral:piRNA from 1 species